CAGUAGCCACGGUAAUACGUAGGGUGCAAGCGUUAAUCGGAAUUACUGGGCGUAAAGCGUGCGCAGGCGGUUAUAUAAGACAGAUGUGAAAUCCCCGGGCUCAACCUGGGAACUGCAUUUGUGACUGUAUAGCUAGAGUACGGCAGAGGGGGAUGGAAUUCCGCGUGUAGCAGUGAAAUGCGUAGAUAUGCGUAGGAACACCGAUGGCGAAGGCAAUCCCCUGGGCCUGUACUGACGCUCAUGCACGAAAGCGUGGGGAGCAAACAGGAUUAGAUACCCGUGUAGUCCCUGUCUCUUAUAC
rnacentral:rRNA from 1 species